rnacentral:rRNA from 1 species
GCUACGGGAGGCAGCAGUGGGGAAUAUUGCACAAUGGGGGAAACCCUGAUGCCGCGACGCCGCGUGAGUGAAGCAGUAAUUCGUUACGUAAAGCUCUAUCAGCCGGGAAGAACAUUACGGUACCUGAGUAAGAAGCUCCGGCUAAAUACGUGCCAGCAGCCGCGGUAAUACGUAUGGAGCAAGCGUUAUCCGGAUUUACUGGGCGUAAAGGGAGCGUAGGCGGCCUGCCAAGUCUGAGGGGAAAUACCGGGGCUCAACCCCGGGGCUGCAUUGGAAACUGGCAGGCUGGAAUGCCGGAGAGGCAGGCGGAAUUCCUAGUGUAGCGGUGAAAUGCGUAGAUAUUAGGAGGAACACCAGUGGCGAAGGCGGCCUGCUGGACGGUGACUGACGCUGAGGCUCGAAAGCGUGGGGAGCAAACAGGAUUAGAUACCCUUGUAGUC